CUCAGCGAAGCUCUGAAGUUGAGACACAGGGUCACUGCCCACAAUUCAGAGGAGCAGGAUGCAGUGACUUAUGAUGCUGUGCAUGUGAACUUUACUGGGGAAGAGUAGAAUUUGCUGGAUCCUUCCUAGAAGAGUCUCUACAAAGAUGUGAUGCAGGAAACCUACUUGGACCUCACUGUUAUAGGCCACACUUGGGAAGACUAUCAUAUUGAAGGACAUUGUCAAAGUUCCAGAAGACAUGAAAGGCAAUCUUCAUGUGCAAGCUGAUACACAUAGGCCUCUGAGGAAAUUUUAAUAUGUUCUGGAAGCUCUAAAGAAAAGCAAGAGUGCCGGGCAGUGGUGGAGGACACCUUUAAUCACAGCACUUGGGAGGAAGAAGCAGGCAGAUUUCUGAGUUCAAGACCAGCCUGGUCUACAGA